GCAGUCGAACGGUAACAGGCCGCAAGGUGCUGACGAGUGGCGAACGGGUGAGUAAUGCAUCGGAACGUGCCCAAUCGUGGGGGAUAACGCAGCGAAAGCUGUGCUAAUACCGCAUACGAUCUACGGAUGAAAGCGGGGGACUCGCAAGAGCCUCGCGCGAUUGGAGCGGCCGAUGUCAGAUUAGGUAGUUGGUGGGGUAAAGGCUCACCAAGCCAACGAUCUGUAGCUGGUCUGAGAGGACGACCAGCCACACUGGAACUGAGACACGGUCCAGACUCCUACGGGAGGCAGCAGUGGGGAAUUUUGGACAAUGGGCGCAAGCCUGAUCCAGCAAUGCCGCGUGCAGGAAGAAGGCCUUCGGGUUGUAAACUGCUUUUGUACGGAACGAAAAGGCUCUGGUUAAUACCUGGGGCUCAUGACGGUACCGUAAGAAUAAGCACCGGCUAACUACGUGCCAGCAGCCGCGGUAAUACGUAGGGUGCGAGCGUUAAUCGGAAUUACUGGGCGUAAAGCGUGCGCAGGCGGUUUUGUAAGACAGUCGUGAAAUCCCCGGGCUCAACCUGGGAAUGGCGAUUGUGACUGCAAGGCUGGAGUGCGGCAGAGGGGGAUGGAAUUCCGCGUGUAGCAGUGAAAUGCGUAGAUAUGCGGAGGAACACCGAUGGCGAAGGCAAUCCCCUGGGCCUGCACUGACGCUCAUGCACGAAAGCGUGGGGAGCAAACAGGAUU
rnacentral:rRNA from 1 species